UAGCCUAGACAAAGAGAUGUUAGCCUAGACAAAGAGACGGAUGUUAGCCUAGACAAAGAGAUGGAUGUUAGCCUAGACAAAGAGACGGAUGUUAGCCUAGACAAAGAGAUGGAUAUUCAUUUAGACACAG